GGAAGUAAAAGUCGUAACAAGGUUUCCGUAGGUGAACCUGCGGAAGGAUCAUUACUGAUUUAGCGAACCGAGCGUUAGCGAGGUUUUGCGAUCACUUAUAUUUAAAACCCCACUCUUUAAUGUAUAAAAUUUGUAUUAAUGAUAAAUUAAAAGAUCACUUUCAACAACGGAUCUCUUGGCUCUCGCAUCGAUGAAGAACGUAGCGAAGUGCGAUAAGUAAUGUGAAUUGCAGUAUUCCGUGAAUCAUCGAAUCUUUGAACGCAUAUUGCACUUUCUGGUAUUCCGGAAAGUAUGCCUGUUUGAGGGUCAGUUAAAUAAAAAUCGGUGUUGUUGCUGCCUUUCGUGGUGACGCGUCGGAAUUGAGUUGUCUUACCUUCGGUUAAGUGACUUAAAAUUUUGUAUGAUUUUUGAACGUAUUUAAAUUUAUUUGUACGUUUGAGAUAUCGAAUGUUUAUUAGGUUCGGUCAUUCUAAUGACUCGCGCCUAUAGUUUUUCAUUAAAUGACCUCAAAUCAGGUAAGAAUACCCGCUGAACUUAAGCAUAUCAAUAAGCGGAGGA
rnacentral:rRNA from 1 species